UACGGAGGGGGCGAGCGUUAUUCGGAAUUAUUGGGCGUAAAGGGCGCGUAGGCGGCCCGGUAAGUCAAAGGUGAAAUCCCUCGGCUCAACUGAGGAACUGCCUUUGAAACUGUCGGGCUUGAGGCCGGGAGGGGGUAGCGGAAUUCCCAGUGUAGCGGUGAAAUGCGUAGAUAUUGGGAGGAACACCGGUGGCGAAGGCGGCUACCUGGACCGUAACUGACGCUGAAACACGAAAGCGUGGGUAGCAAACAGG
rnacentral:rRNA from 1 species